rnacentral:rRNA from 1 species
GAUGAACGCUGGCGGCGUGCUUAACACAUGCAAGUCGAACGAUGAAGCGGUGCUUGCACCGUGGAUUAGUGGCGAACGGGUGAGUAACACGUGAGCAACCUGCCCUGGACUCUGGGAUAAGCGCUGGAAACGGCGUCUAAUACUGGAUAUGAGCCUCUAUCGCAUGGUGGGGGUUGGAAAGAUUUUUUGGUCUGGGAUGGGCUCGCGGCCUAUCAGCUUGUUGGUGAGGUAAUGGCUCACCAAGGCGUCGACGGGUAGCCGGCCUGAGAGGGUGACCGGCCACACUGGGACUGAGACACGGCCCAGACUCCUACGGGGGGCAGCAGUGGGGAAUAUUGCACAAUGGGCGGAAGCCUGAUGCAGCAACGCCGCGUGAGGGAUGACGGCCUUCGGGUUGUAAACCUCUUUUAGCAGGGAAGAAGCGAGAGUGACGGUACCUGCAGAAAAAGCGCCGGCUAACUACGUGCCAGCCGCCGCAGUAAGAC